rnacentral:rRNA from 1 species
UACAGAGGUCCCGAGCGUUGUUCGGAUUCACUGGGCGUAAAGGGUGCGUAGGUGGUGAGGUAAGUCGGAUGUGAAAUCUCCAGGCUCAACCUGGAAACUGCAUUGGAAACUACCUUGCUGGAGGAUUUGAGGGGGGAUUGGAAUACUUGGUGUAGCAGUGAAAUGCGUAGAUAUCAAGUGGAACACCAGUGGCGAAGGCGAAUCCCUGGAAAUACCUGACACUGAGGCACGAAAGCUAGGGGAGCAAACGGG